rnacentral:rRNA from 1 species
AGUCUGGUGCCAGCAGCCGCGGUAAUUCCAGCUCCAAUAGCGUAUAUUAAAGUUGUUGCAGUUAAAAAGCUCGUAGUUGAACCUUGGGCCUGGCUGACCGGUCCGCCUCACCGCGUGCACUGGUUCGGCCGGGCCUUUCCUUCUGGGGAGCCGCAUGCCCUUCACUGGGUGUGUCGGGGAACCAGGACUUUUACUUUGAAAAAAUUAGAGUGUUCAAAGCAGGCCUAUGCUCGAAUACAUUAGCAUGGAAUAAUAGAAUAGGACGUGUGGUUCUAUUUUGUUGGUUUCUAGGACCGCCGUAAUGAUUAAUAGGGAUAGUCGGGGGCAUCAGUAUUCAAUUGUCAGAGGUGAAAUUCUUGGAUUUAUUGAAGACUAACUACUGCGAAAGCAUUUGCCAAGGAUGUUUUCAUUAAUCAGUGAACGAAAGUUAGGGGAUCGAAGACGAUCAGAUACCGUCGUAGUCUUAACCAUAAACUAUGCCGACUAGGGAUCGGGCGAUGUUAUCUUUUUGACUCGCUCGGCACCUCACGAGAAAUCAAAGUUUUUGGGUUCUGGGGGGNGUAUGGUCGCAAGG